rnacentral:lncRNA from 1 species
AUCGAAUUCCGGUGAUGCGAGUUGUUCUCCGUCUAUAAAUACGCCUCGCCCGAGCUGUGCGGCAGGCAGUGAGGCAGCCAGCGCAGGGGCUUCUGCUGAGGGCGCAGGCGGAGCUUGAGGAAACCGCAGAUAAGUUUUUUUCACUUUGAAAGAUAGAGAUUAAUACAACUACUUAAAAAAUAUAGUCAAUAGGUUACUAAGAUAUUGCUUAGCGUUAAGCUUUUAACGUAAUUUUAAUAGCUUAAGAUUUUAAGAGAAAAUAUGAAGACUUAGAAGAGUAGCAUGACGAAGGAAAAGAUAAAAGAUUUCUAAAACAUGACGGAGGUUGAGAUGAAGCUUCUUCAUGGAGUAAAAAAUGUAUUUAAAAGAAAAUUGAGAGAAAGGACUACAGAGCCCUGAAUUAAUACCAAUAGAAGGGCAAUGCUUUUAGAUUAAAAUGAAGGUGACUUAAACAGCUUAAAGUUUACUUUAAAAGUUGUAGGUGAUUAAAAUAAUUUGAAGGCGAUCUUUUAAAAAGAGAUUAAACCGAAGGUGAUUAAAAGACCUUGAAAUCCAUGACGCAGGGAGAAUUGCGUCAUUUAAAGCCUAGUUAACGCAUUUAAACGCAGACGAAAAUGGAAAGAUUAGUUGGGAGUGGUAGGAUGAAACGAUUUGGAGAAGAUAGAAGUUUGAAGUGGAAAACUGGAAGACAGAAGUACAGGAAGGCGGAGAAAAGAAUAGAGAAGAUAGGGAAAUUAGAAGAUAAAAACAUACUUUUAGAAGAAAAAAGAUAAAUUUAAACCUGAAAAGUAGGAAGCAGAAGAAAAAAGACAAGCUAGGAAACAAAAAACUAAGGGCAAAAUGUACAAACUUAGAAGAAAAUUGGAAGAUAGAAACAAGAUAGAAAAUGAAAAUAUUGUCAAGAGUUUCAGAUAGAAAAUGAAAAACAAGCUAAGACAAGUAUUGGAGAAGUAUAGAAGAUAGAAAAAUAUAAAGCCAAAAAUUGGAUAAAAUAGCACUGAAAAAGUGAGGAAAUUAUUGGUAACCAAUUUAUUUUAAAAGCCCAUCAAUUUAAUUUCUGGUGGUGCAGAAGUUAGAAGGUAAAGCUUGAGAAGAUGAGGGUGUUUACGUAGACCAGAACCAAUUUAGAAGAAUACUUGAAGCUAGAAGGGGAAGUUGGUUAAAAAUCACAUCAAAAAAGGACUGGUGUAAUUUAAAAAAAAACUAAGGCAGAAGGCUUUUGGAAGAGUUAGAAGAAUUUGGAAGGCCUUAAAUAUAGUAGCUUAGUUUGAAAAAUGUGAAGGACUUUCGUAACGGAAGUAAUUCAAGAUCAAGAGUAAUUACCAACUUAAUGUUUUUGCAUUGGACUUUGAGUUAAGAUUAUUUUUUAAAUCCUGAGGACUAGCAUUAAUUGACAGCUGACCCAGGUGCUACACAGAAGUGGAUUCAGUGAAUCUAGGAAGACAGCAGCAGACAGGAUUCCGGGAACCAGUGUUUGAUGAAGCUAGGACUGAGGAGCAAGCGAGCAAGCAGCAGUUCGUGGUGAAGAUAGGAAAAGAGUCCAGGAGCCAGUGCGAUUUGGUGAAGGAAGCUAGGAAGAAGGAAGGAGCGCUAACGAUUUGGUGGUGAAGCUAGGAAAAAGGAUUCCAGAAAGGAGCGAGUGCGAUUUGGUGAUGAAGCUAGCAGGCGGCUUGGCUUGGCAACCACACGGAGGAGGCGAGCAGGCGUUGUGCGUAGAUAGAGGAUCCUAGACCAGCAUGCCAGUGUGCCAAGGCCACAGGGAAAACGAGUGGUUGGUAAAAAUCCGUGAGGUCGGCAAUAUGUUGUUUUUCUGGAACUUAUGGUAACCUUUUAUUUAUUUUCUAAUAUAAUGGGGGAGUUUCGUACUGAGGUGUAAAGGGAUUUAUAUGGGGAACGUAGGCCGAUUUCCGGGUGUUGUAGGUUUCUCUUUUUCAGGCUUAUACUCAUGAAUCUUGUCUGAAGCUUUUGAGGGCAGACUGCCAAGUCCUGGAGAAAUACUGAAAAGUACAGCACAGUGCAGCUUUGGUUCAUAUUCAGUCAUCUCAGGAGAACUUCAGAAGAGCUUGAGUAGGCCAAAUGUUGAAGUUAAGUUUUCCAAUAAUGUGACUUCUUAAAAGUUUUAUUAAAGGGGAGGGGCAAAUAUUGGCAAUUAGUUGGCAGUGGCCUGUUACGGUUGGGAUUGGUGGGGUGGGUUUAGGUAAUUGUUUAGUUUAUGAUUGCAGAUAAACUCAUGCCAGAGAACUUAAAGUCUUAGAAUGGAAAAAGUAAAGAAAUAUCAACUUCCAAGUUGGCAAGUAACUCCCAAUGAUUUAGUUUUUUUCCCCCCAGUUUGAAUUGGGAAGCUGGGGGAAGUUAAAUAUGAGCCACUGGGUGUACCAGUGCAUUAAUUUGGGCAAGGAAAGUGUCAUAAUUUGAUACUGUAUCUGUUUUCCUUCAAAGUAUAGAGCUUUUGGGGAAGGAAAGUAUUGAACUGGGGGUUGGUCUGGCCUACUGGGCUGACAUUAAUUACAAUUAUGGGAAAUGCAAAAGUUGUUUGGAUAUGGUAGUGUGUGGUUCUCUUUUGGAAUUUUUUUCAGGUGAUUUAAUAAUAAUUUAAAACUACUAUAGAAACUUCAGAGCAAAGGAAGUGGCUUAAUGAUCCUGAAGGGAUUUCUUCUGAUGGUAGCUUUUGUAUUAUCAAACUUUUUUCAGAUAACAUCUUCUGAGUCAUAACCAGCCUGGCAGUAUGAUGGCCUAGAUGCAGAGAAAACAGCUCCUUGGUAUCUCUUCGUUAUCAGAAGAGUUGCUUCAUUUCAUCUGGGAGCAGAAAACAGCAGGCAGCUGUUAACAGAUAAGUUUAACUUGCAUCUGCAGUAUUGCAUGUUAGGGAUAAGUGCUUAUUUUUAAGAGGUGUGGAGUUCUUAAAUAUCAACCAUGGCACUUUCUCCUGACCCCUUCCCUAGGGGAUUUCAGGAUUGAGAAAUUUUUCCAUCGAGCCUCUUUAAAAUUGUAGGACUUGUUCCUGUGGGCUUCAAUGAUGGGAUAGUACACUUCACUCAGAGGCAUUUGCAUCUUUAAAUAAUUUCUUAAAAGCCUCUAAAGUGAUCAGUGCCUUGAUGCCAACUAAGGAAAUUUGUUUAGCAUUGAAUCUCUGAAGGCUCUAUGAAAGGAAUAGCAUGAUGUGCUGUUAGAAUCAGAUGUUAUUGCUAAAAUUUACAUGUUGUGUUGUGAUGUAAAUUGUGUAGAAAACCAUUAAAUCAUUCAAAAUAAUAAACUAUUUUUAUUAGAGAAUGUAUACUUUUAGAAAGCUGUCUCCUUAUUUAAAUACAAUACUGUUUGUCUGUAGUUUAGUGUUGGGGCAAUCUUGGGGGGGAUUCUUCUCUAAUCUUUCAGAAACUUUGUCUGCGAACACUCUUUAAUGGACCAGAUCAGGAUUUGAGCGGAAGAACGAAUGUAACUUUAAGAGGCAUUUCAUCCUUCAUGAAGCUGUUCAGGAUUUUGAAUUGCAUAUGAGUGCUUGGCUCUUCCUUCUGUUCUCCUAACUUCACAGAGAAUGCAGUUGUCUUGACUUCAGGUCUGUCUGUUCUGUUGGCAAGUAAAUGCAGUACUGUUCUGAUCCCGCUGCUAUUAGAAUGCAUUGUGAAACGACUGGAGUAUGAUUAAAAGUUGUGUUCCCCAAUGCUUGGAGUAGUGAUUGUUGAAGGAAAAAAUCCAGCUGAGUGAUAAAGGCUGAGUGUUGAGGAAAUUUCUGCAGUUUUAAGCAGUCGUAUUUGUGAUUGAAGCUGAGUACAUUUUGCUGGUGUAUUUUUAGGUAAAAUGCUUUUUGUUCAUUUCUGGUGCUGGGAGGGGACUGAAGCCUUUAGUCUUUUCCAGAUGCAACCUUAAAAUCAGUGACAAGAAACAAAUUCCAAACAAGCAACAGUCUUCAAGAAAUUAAACUGGCAAGUGGAAAUGUUUAAACAGUUCAGUGAUCUUUAGUGCAUUGUUUUUGUGUGGGUUUCUCUCUCCCCUCCCUUGGUCUUAAUUCUUACAUGCAGGAACACUCAGCAGACACACGUAUGCGAAGGGCCAGAGAAGCCAGACCCAGUAAGAAAAAAUAGCCUAUUUACUUUAAAUAAACCAAACAUUCCAUUUUAAAUGUGGGGAUUGGGAACCACUAGUUCUUUCAGAUGGUAUUCUUCAGACUAUAGAAGGAGCUUCCAGUUGAAUUCACCAGUGGACAAAAUGAGGAAAACAGGUGAACAAGCUUUUUCUGUAUUUACAUACAAAGUCAGAUCAGUUAUGGGACAAUAGUAUGA